rnacentral:rRNA from 1 species
AUUGAACGCUAGCGGGAUGCCUUACACAUGCAAGUCGAACGGAGUGGCGCACGGGUGAGUAAUGUAUCGGAACGUGCCCAGUAGCCGGGGAUAACUCCGCGAAAGCGUAGAUAAUACCGCAUACUAUUGGAGCGGCCGUUAUCGGAUUCGCUAGUUGGGGGGGUAACGGGUCACCAAGGCGACGAUCCGUAGCUGGUUUGAGAGGACGACCAGCCACACUGGGACUGAGACACGGCCCAGACUCCUACGGGAGGCAGCAGUGGGGAAUGUUGGACAAUGGGGGAAACCCUGAUCCGGCCAUCCCGCGUGUGCGAUGAAGGCCUUCGGGUUGUAAAGCACUUUUGGCAGGAGAGCGGUACCUGCAGAAUAAGCACCGGCUAACUACGUGCCAGCAGCCGCGGUAAUUC